rnacentral:rRNA from 1 species
AACGCUGGCGGCAGGCUUAACACAUGCAAGUCGAGCGGGGGAAGGUAGCUUGCUACCGGACCUAGCGGCGGACGGGUGAGUAAUGCUUAGGAAUCUGCCUAUUAGUGGGGGACAACAUCUCGAAAGGGAUGCUAAUACCGCAUACGUCCUACGGGAGAAAGCAGGGGAUCUUCGGACCUUGCGCUAAUAGAUGAGCCUAAGUCGGAUUAGCUAGUUGGUGGGGUAAAGGCCUACCAAGGCGACGAUCUGUAGCGGGUCUGAGAGGAUGAUCCGCCACACUGGGACUGAGACACGGCCCAGACUCCUACGGGAGGCAGCAGUGGGGAAUAUUGGACAAUGGGGGGAACCCUGAUCCAGCCAUGCCGCGUGUGUGAAGAAGGCCUUAUGGUUGUAAAGCACUUUAAGCGAGGAGGAGGCUACUUUAGUUAAUACCUAGAGAUAGUGGACGUUACUCGCAGAAUAAGCACCGGCUAACUCUGUGCCAGCAGCCG